AUGAUUUUGCCACCAAGGGGACGUCUGGAGUCCGUUUUGAUGGUCCUGAUCAAAGGCAGGGGCGUGUGCUAUUGCUAUCUAGGGGACAGACGCAGGGUGAGACAGCCUGAUCAGCGCUGGCAACACCCAUCGUUACUCCCGUCCAGCGAGCACUCAGGAGCCAGGCCCUGUGUGGGGUGCUUUCCAAUGCCAGACGUGUUACUAUGGUUCCAUUUUACAGAUGAGUACAUCGAGGUUUGGCGAGUCCGGCCCAGAAGGAUGUCCGCGGCCGCUCUCCUGGGAGUUGCUCAAACACAGACGUGCCCGAAUGCCCACCACCAUGGAUAAAUUGCUCACUGUGUGUUCACAGAGUGGAAUCCUCCGCAGCCGUGAAGACUGGUCCCGAGCCAGAAACCAACAUGGGUGAAAGAAGCCAGAUGUGAAGGAAUACACGCGCUGAAUGGUUCCAUCCUGGGACGGACCGGAACAGGCAAAACUAGGAUACUGUCCGAGGUCAGAAUCAUGGUUUCCUUUAAAGAGUGGGUGGGGGGGGUGGGGGGCAGAAGAUGAAUUGGAGCAUCGGGGGGUGAUUUGGGACGCUGGCAGGGUUCUGCCUCUCAUCUGAGUGGGGGGGGGGGGUACAGGAGGCACUUGCUGAAAAUUCAUCGAGCUCUGGCCUUUUUCUCCUAUAUCCUUCCCGUUGUUUGAACAGUGUCGUUGAGCUGUAUCCACCCACUUCAAGUGUGUAAACCUGAGUGGGUUUGUGUGUGUUCGCAGAGCUGGGCAAGCAUCACCCCGUCCAGUUCUGGAACCUUUUCAUCACCCCGGAAAGUAAACAGGGACCUGCUAACAGUCACUCCCCGGCUGCCCCCACUCUCCCAGCCCCGGGCAGUCACGAUUCUCCGGUCCGAGUUACCCACUCUCGCCGCGUGACUGCAGGUUAGAUUUAAACUGAAAUGUACAAGGCGCUGAAUGAAAUAACCACAGGCCACGGGCAGACACUACCCUCCGCCCCUCACUUCUGCGUCCCGCACUUGUCUGUGUUCUUCGGUCAGUCACCCGCCUGGCCCCGGAGGCAUUCAAAGCUGUGACUCCUGGGAUAGAUGAUCCGAGGGUGUUUUCCUGUGGGAAUAUCCCUUGUUUCUCAUUUCUCCCGCAUGGGAGCAGGU
rnacentral:lncRNA from 1 species